rnacentral:rRNA from 1 species
GGGUUGUAAACCUCUUUCAGCAGGGACGAAGCGAGAGUGACGGUACCUGCAGAAGAAGCACCGGCUAACUACGUGCCAGCAGCCGCGGUAAUACGUAGGGUGCGAGCGUUGUCCGGAAUUACUGGGCGUAAAGAGUUCGUAGGCGGUUUGUCACGUCGUUUGUGAAAACUCACAGCUCAACUGUGAGCCUGCAGGCGAUACGGGCAGACUUGAGUACUGCAGGGGAGACUGGAAUUCCUGGUGUAGCGGUGAAAUGCGCAGAUAUCAGGAGGAACACCGGUGGCGAAGGCGGGUCUCUGGGCAGUAACUGACGCUGAGGAACGAAAGCGUGGGUAGCAAACAGGAUUAGAUACCCUGGUAGUCCACGCCGUAAACGGUGGGCGCUAGGUGUGGGUUCCUUCCACGGGAUCUGUGCCGUAGCUAACGCAUUAAGCGCCCCGCCUGGGGGAGUACGGCCGCAA